rnacentral:rRNA from 1 species
CCCUAGAGGAGCCUGUUCCAUAAUCGAUAAACCCCGAUCCACCUCACCCUCUCUUGCUUAGCCUAUAUACCGCCAUCUUCAGCAAACCCUGAUAAAGGUUACAAAGUGAGCACAAACGCCCUGCCGCCGCAAAAACGUUAGGUCAAGGUGUAGCCCAUGAGAGGGUAAAAAUGGGCUACAUUUUCUAUAUUAGAAAACUCCACGAAAACUCCUAUGAAACCUGGGAGUCCAAGGAGGAUUUAGCAGUAAAUUAAGAAUAGAGUGCUUAAUUGAACUAGGCCAUAAAGCGCGUACACACCGCCCGUCACUCCCCUCAAAUAUAUUUAAGGAACACUUUAACUAAACGCCCUAAUAUUUAUAUAGAGGGGAUAAGUCGUAACAUGGUAAGUGUAUUGGAAGAUGCACUUGGAC